GACGAACCGUGCGAACGUUGUUCGGAAUCACUGGGCUUAAAGCGCGCGUAGGCGGCUUAACAAGUCAGGGGUGAAAUCCCACAGCUCAACUGUGGAAUUGCCUUUGAAACUGUUAAGCUAGAGUGUCGGAGGGGAUAGCGGAAUUGCUAAUGUAGAGGUGAAAUUCGUAGAUAUUAGCAGGAACACCGGUGGCGAAGGCGGCUAUCUGGACGACAACUGACGCUGAGGCGCGAAAGCGCGGGGAUCAAACAGG
rnacentral:rRNA from 1 species